rnacentral:rRNA from 1 species
CCCUUAGAUGUUCGGGGCCGCACGCGCGCUACACUGAAGGAAUCAGCACGUCUUUCUCCUUGUCCGAAAGGACUGGGUAACCCGCUGAACCUCCUUCGUGCUAGGGAUUGGGGCUUGUAAUUCUUCCCCAUGAACGAGGAAUUCCCAGUAAGCGCGAGUCAUAAGCUCGCGUUGAUUACGUCCCUGCCCUUUGUACACGCCGCCCGUCGCUACUACCGAUUGGAUGGUUUAGUGAGAUCCUCGGAUUGGUCCCGGCGCGGCCUCUGGUCGUGCCGGAGUGCCGAAAAGAAUGUCGAACUUGAUCAUCUAGAGGAAGUAAAAGUCGUAACA